GUACACGGACGUUUCUAUCGAGUCGGGUAGCUUGAGAAUGCUGCCCUAAUAUAGGUGAUAAAUCUCAUCUAAGGCUAAAUACUGGUGGGAGACCGAUAGCGAACAAGUACCGUGAGGGAAAGUUUCAAAGCACUUUGAAAAGAGGGUGAAAAGAACCUGAAACCGUUAUGGGGGAAGCGUAUUGGGUCAAAUUGAUUUGGGGGAGUGCUGCUGUUCAACGGGGUGAUUCCCGUGUACUCAGUGCAUUUUCUUACCCGUCGUGUGCUUUGGAUGGUCGAUUUUGGGCUGUCUGGGGCUGAGGGAUCCCCUUUUAUAGGGUGAAGACGAUGGGGCGCUGACACGAUACGACCCGUCUUGAAACACGGACCAAGGAGUUCAGCAUGUGUGCGAGUCAAAGGGUGAUUAAACCUGGGGGCGCAGUGAAAGCAACUUUUGUGUAAGGGAAUCCAACAUUAAGCAGUUUCAGGCGGCAUACGAUCGUUGAUUGUAGGACUGACCUAGAGCACAUGUGCUGAGACCCGAAAGAUGGUGAACUAUGCCGGAGUAGGGCGAAGCCAGAGGAAACUCUGGUGGAGGCUCGUAGCGGUGCUGACGUGCAAAUCGCUCGUCUGACUCGGGUAUAGGGGCGAAAGACUAAUCGAACCAUCUAGUAGCUGGUUUCCUCCGAAGUUUCUCUCAGGAUAGCAGGCCGACGAAUAAGCAUGAAGUCUCAGUUGUUGUGUGCGGUAAAGCGAAUGAUUAGCGUAUUUGGGGGUGAUUAGCCUUCAGACGAUUCUCAAACUUUAAAUGCGCACGGAUGUUGCCGCUUGGGUGGGCGGUAUCAAUUAAAAAACGUCGGCCUUGUGGGCCACUUUUGGUAAGCAGAACUGGCGAUACGGGAUGAACCGUAAGUGUGGU
rnacentral:rRNA from 1 species